rnacentral:rRNA from 1 species
UUUUUCUUUUGAAAACACGAUCGUGAUGGAGAUAGAACAUUGCAAUUAUUGUUCUUCAACGAGGAAUGCCUAGUAAGCGCGAGUCAUCAUCUCGCGUUGAUUACGUCCCUGCCCUUUGUACACACCGCCCGUCGCUCCUACCGAUUGAACGUGCUGGUGAAGCGUUAGGACUGGAACUUUGGGCCGGUUUCCCUGCCCAUCGUUUCGGGAAUUUCGUUGAACCCUCCCGUUUAGAGGAAGGAGAAGUCGUAACAAGGUCUCCGUAGGUGAACCUGCGGAGGGAUCAUUG